CUUUGCACUGGACUUUGAGCCUGCUUGUGUAGGAUAGGUGGGAGGCUUUGAAGCGUGGACGCCAGUUCGCGUGGAGCCAUCCUUGAAAUACCACCCUGGCAUGCUUGAGGUUCUAACUCUGGUCCGUAAUCCGGAUCGAGGACAGUGUAUGGUGGGCAGUUUGACUGGGGCGGUCUCCUCCUAAAGAGUAACGGAGGAGUACGAAGGUGCGCUCAGACCGGUCGGAAAUCGGUCGUAGAGUAUAAAGGCAAAAGC
rnacentral:rRNA from 1 species